rnacentral:rRNA from 1 species
UACAGAGGGUGCGAGCGUUAAUCGGAAUUACUGGGCGUAAAGCGCGCGUAGGCGGCUUGGCAAGUCGGGUGUGAAAUCCCCGGGCUCAACCUGGGAACUGCAUUCGAGACUGCUUUGCUAGAGUAUGGGAGAGGGAAGUGGAAUUUCCGGUGUAGCGGUGAAAUGCGUAGAUAUCGGAAGGAACAUCAGUGGCGAAAGCGACUUCCUGGACCAAUACUGACGCUCAUGUGCGAAAGCGUGGGGAGCAAACAGG